CCCGCUGAGCUCGAGCAUGUUGAUAAGUGGAGGAAGAAACCAACAGGGAUUGCCUCAGUGACGGUGAGUGAAGCAGCAAAAAGCUCAAAAUUUGGAACUUGGUUCCUUCGAGGCCCAGUUAUAGCUUGUAGAGGAUCCUUCGGGCCUGGUCGCGCGCGGUAAGUCCCUUGGAAUGUCGCAGUGGGUGAAAGUCGGGUUUUGGGCCGAUCACCUUCGCCCAUGUGAAGCUCCUUCGACCAAUUGAGUUUGUUUGGGAAUAUAGCUCUAAAUGGAUGGCAGACUUCAUCACCAAAAGAGCCAGAGGGACGCUGUGGAG
rnacentral:ncRNA from 1 species